rnacentral:rRNA from 1 species
UAGGGAAUCUUCCACAAUGGACGGCAAGUCUGAUGGAGCAACGCCGCGUGAGUGAAGAAGGUCUUCGGAUCGUAAAACUCUGUUGUUAGAGAAGAACACGAGUGAGAGUAACUGUUCAUUCGAUGACGGUAUCUAACCAGCAAGUCACGGCUAACUACGUGCCAG